rnacentral:rRNA from 1 species
UCAGAACGAACGCUGGCAGCGUGGAUGAGGCAUGCAAGUCGAACGGUCAAGGGCUGGUAGCAAUAUUGGCUCUUGAUAGUGGCGGAAGGGCGAGUAAUGCGAAAGCAAGCUACCCCGAGAUUCGGGACAACGGCUGGAAACGGCCGCUAAUACCGGAUACGAACCCGGAGCCGCAUGGCAUCGGGUUGAAAGGCCGGGACCUUCGGGCCGGUCGUCUUGGGAGGCGCUUUCGUGCCAUCGGCUAGUUGGUGGGGUAACGGCCCACCAAGGCUUACGGCUAGGUGGACUGAGAGGUUGGUCACCCGCACUGGGACUGAAGACACUGCCCAGACUCCUACGGGAGGCUGCAGUCGAGGAUCAUUUGCAAUGGGCGAAAGCCUGACAAUGCGACGCUGCCGUGCAGGAUGAAGGUCUUCGGAUUGUAAACUGCUGUCAAGGGGGAAAAGGACGGGACCCCGAACAAGGGUCCUUGUUUGAUUGUACUCCUAGAGGAAGUGACGGCUAACUCUGUGCCAGCCGCCGC